rnacentral:rRNA from 1 species
GAUGAACGCUGGCGGCGUGCCUAAUACAUGCAAGUCGAGCGAACAGAUAAGGAGCUUGCUCCUUUGACGUUAGCGGCGGACGGGUGAGUAACACGUGGGUAACCUACCUAUAAGACUGGGAUAACUUCGGGAGACCGGAGCUAAUACCGGAUAACAUUUGGAACCGCAUGGUUCUAAAGUGAAAGAUGGUUUUGCUAUCACUUAUAGAUGGACCCGCGCCGUAUUAGCUAGUUGGUAAGGUAACGGCUUACCAAGGCGACGAUACGUAGCCGACCUGAGAGGGUGAUCGGCCACACUGGAACUGAGACACGGUCCAGACUCCUACGGGAGGCAGCAGUAGGGAAUCUUCCGCAAUAGGCGAAAGCCUGACGGAGCAACGCCGCGUGAGUGAUGAAGGGUUUCGGCUCGUAAAACUCUGUUAUUAGGGAAGAACAAAUGUGUAAGUAACUGUGCACGUCUUGACGGUACCUAAUCAGAAAGCCACGGCUAACUACGUG